UACGUAGGGUGCGAGCGUUAAUCGGAAUUACUGGGCGUAAAGCGUGCGCAGGCGGUUCGACAAGUCCGAUGUGAAAUCCCCGGGCUUAACCUGGGAAUGGCAUUUGGGACUGCAAGGCUUGAGUGCGGCAGAGGAGACUGGAAUUCCUGGUGUAGCAGUGAAAUGCGUAGAUAUCAGGAGGAAUACCGGUGGCGAAAGCGACUCUCUGGACGGCAACUGACGCUGAGGCACGAAAGCGUGGGGAGCAAACAGG
rnacentral:rRNA from 1 species